AGAUUGGGAUAACUCCGGGAAACCGGGGCUAAUACCGGAUAACACCUACCCCCGCAUGGGGGAAGGUUGAAAGGUGGCUUCGGCUAUCACUUACAGAUGGACCCGCGGCGCAUUAGCUAGUUGGUGAGGUAACGGCUCACCAAGGCGACGAUGCGUAGCCGACCUGAGAGGGUGAUCGGCCACACUGGGACUGAGACACGGCCCAGACUCAUACGGGAGGCAGCAGUAGGGAAUCUUCCGCAAUGGACGAAAGUCUGACGGAGCAACGCCGCGUGAGUGAAGAAGGUUUUCGGAUCGUAAAACUCUGUUGUUAGGGAAGAACAAGUGCCGUUCGAAUAGGGCGGCACCUUGACGGUACCUAACCAGAAAGCCACGGCUAACUACGUGCCAGCAGCCGCGGUAAUACGUAGGUGGCAAGCGUUGUCCGGAAUUAUUGGGCGUAAAGCSCGCGCAGGUGGUUUCUUAAGUCUGAUGUGAAAGCCCACGGCUCAACCGUGGAGGGUCAUUGGAAACUGGGGAACUUGAGUGCAGAAGAGGAAAGUGGAAAUUCCAAGUGUAGCGGUGAAAUGCGUAGAUAUUUGGAGGAACACCAGUGGCGAAGGCGACUUUCUGGUCUGUAACUGACACUGAGGCGCGAAAGCGUGGGGAGCAAACAGGAUUAGAUACCCUGGUAGUCCACGCCGUAAACGAUGAGUGCUAAGUGUUAGAGGGUUUCCGYCCUUUAGUGCUGCAGCUAACGCAUUARGCACUCCGCCUGGGGAGUACGGUCGCAAGACUGAAACUCAAAGGAAUUGACGGGGGCCCGCACAAGCGGUGGAGCAUGUGGUUUAAUUCGAAGCAACGCGAAGAACCUUACCAGGUCUUGACAUCCUCUGACAACCCUAGAGAUAGGGCUUUCCCCUUCGGGGGACAGAGUGACAGGUGGUGCAUGGUUGUCGUCAGCUCGUGUCGUGAGAUGUUGGGUUAAGUCCCGCAACGAGCGCAACCCUUGAUCUUAGUUGCCAGCAUUCAGUUGGGCACUCUAAGAUGACUGCCGGUGACAAACCGGAGGAAGGUGGGGAUGACGUCAAAUCAUCAUGCCCCUUAUGACCUGGGCUACACACGUGCUACAAUGGACGGUACAAAGGGCUGCAAGACCGCGAGGUUUAGCCAAUCCCAUAAAACCGUUCUCAGUUCGGAUUGUAGGCUGCAACUCGCCUACAUGAAGCUGGAAUCGCUAGUAAUCGCGGAUCAGCAUGCCGCGGUGAAUACG
rnacentral:rRNA from 1 species